CGGAGCUCAACAAAUGUCAGAUAUUGAAGCAAUGUCUACAAAUAUCUUGUAAUAUGUGUUCCAGAAAGGGAUGAAAACUCAGCGUCUUGAGGUUGACCUGAAGGUGGCUCCAGACGAAAGACAAUGAGUAUUUUACAGUAUAAAGGGAUUAAUGAUGAUGUAUGUGACGUCAGGAUGUCUAAAUCACCACCAUCUGCUCCUUACAUCAGACAAACAGUGGCCAGCAGUUUGUGUGUGACCCUGAGUUUAUUUCACAUCAGGGAGCACGUAAGGAAAGUCAACUCAACUCUCUCCGUAGCUUCCUCUUGGACUUCUGGUCCUCUUAUAGUGGAAAGUUGAUGAAAAGGAGAAUGUUAAAAGUAUCCAGUUGUGUUGGGAGUAAAAAAAAAAUCUAUACAUAGUUACAAAUAU